rnacentral:misc_RNA from 1 species
CAGGGCUGAACUUUGUGCCGACUUCAUUAUUGUCGUUAGAAUGGGAAACAAAGGUUCGAGCAGAAGUCAACUUUGUGUUUCGACAGAGAUAUUGCUCGUGUUUGCGUUAAUCAGAACCAUGCAGUAAACACUUCUUGAACCUUGAUUCGACUCUACUCCUGGACUUCAGGGAUUUAUAUAAAGCGACCGUCGAAGUGUCGAUUCGUCCAUUUUGAGUACAGCAGUGCGCGUGUUAUACCUGAGAAUACGCGGAAGAUGCAGAGGAAUUGGCUUGUGAUUGGCCUGCUAGUGACGGCCCUGAUUACCGUUGUAUAUGCCCAGGAAGCAAAUGGGUUAAAGCCAGGGACAUGCCCAUCUCCCCAGUUUCGAUGGAGUGAAACCUGCCCCCCACCUUUCGGUGGGAAGCUGUGUUCCAACGACAGUCAGUGUCCGGGCAGUCAGAAAUGUUGUAACGCCUGGCGAAUCAUGAUAACCGAUUGCUAUGUUUGCAUGCCACCUGAGCCACCAGUCCGAGCGACAUUUAAACCACCUAAAACUACGGCCUCUAAAACAAAUCACACCGUGAAGGAUGGUAAGUGCCCGGCGCCCCGUUACACCUUUAGGCGUGGUUGCAGUAGCUGGUCCACGCACAAUUGCUCCAGGGACAGUGACUGCUCUGGAGAGAUGAAAUGCUGCCGCGGCUUCGUCGGUGAGGAUUGUUCCGUCUGCAGGUUCCCGGAAUUUAGCAACAGCACAGUCACCACGACUAGGCAACCGCUGCCCAAACCAACCAACAGACCUCACCGCGAUCACCACGGCACAUGUCCAAACAAUUUUGAGAAAUAUCACUGGUAUGACGACUUUGGCAUCACUUGCGAGAACCACUGCAACUCGUCCGAUGAUUGCGCGGAAGGGGAGCUGUGCUGCGUUGAAGAAAGUGGAGGGAUUAUUUACGAUGAUCUCCCGGUCUCAUAUCGGAAACGGCGGCAGGUAGAUGGUUCACGGUGCCCCGUUUGCAAGAAAGCUAAUUACGAUUGUUACGGCACCUACGGGACAAAGUACAGCCAUGGCGAGAUGUACAUGGAGUCGUAUUAUGAUAGUUCCGAUUACUGUAGAGUCUGUCAGUGUUACUACGGACAGUCCAACUGCUUCUAUAUCUGCGGUGAUGAUUACAUGAGAGUGCUGCUGCCUUAAAUGCUGUUGCAGUGACAAAAAGCAGACAAUCGUCUUGCAGCAACGUCCCGCAGUGGCACAACAACCUGGCAAUGUCUACUACAUGUCACCUCCCAAGGAAGAGAAGCUUCCUCUAGCUGAAAACGGCUACACCACAGCUUAACUGUCU